GGGUUGUGAGGUUAAGCGACUAAGCGUACACGGUGGAUGCCCUGGCAGUCAGAGGCGAUGAAGGACGUGCUAAUCUGCGAUAAGCGUCGGUAAGGUGAUAUGAACCGUUAUAACCGGCGAUUUCCGAAUGGGGAAACCCAGUGUGUUUCGACACACUAUCAUUAACUGAAUCCAUAGGUUAAUGAGGCGAACCGGGGGAACUGAAACAUCUAAGUACCCCGAGGAAAAGAAAUCAACCGAGAUUCCCCCAGUAGCGGCGAGCGAACGGGGAGCAGCCCAGAGCCUGAAUCAGUGUGUGUGUUAGUGGAAGCGUCUGGAAAGGCGCGCGAUACAGGGUGACAGCCCCGUACACAAAAAUGCACAUACUGUGAGCUCGAUGAGUAGGGCGGGACACGUGGUAUCCUGUCUGAAUAUGGGGGGACCAUCCUCCAAGGCUAAAUACUCCUGACUGACCGAUAGUGAACCAGUACCGUGAGGGAAAGGCGAAAAGAACCCCGGCGAGGGGAGUGAAAAAGAACCUGAAACCGUGUACGUACAAGCAGUGGGAGCCUCUUUUAUGGGGUGACUGCGUACCUUUUGUAUAAUGGGUCAGCGACUUAUAUUCUGUAGCAAGGUUAACCGAAUAGGGGAGCCGAAGGGAAACCGAGUCUUAACUGGGCGUUAAGUUGCAGGGUAUAGACCCGAAACCCGGUGAUCUAGCCAUGGGCAGGUUGAAGGUUGGGUAACACUAACUGGAGGACCGAACCGACUAAUGUUGAAAAAUUAGCGGAUGACUUGUGGCUGGGGGUGAAAGGCCAAUCAAACCGGGAGAUAGCUGGUUCUCCCCGAAAGCUAUUUAGGUAGCGCCUCGUGAAUUCAUCUCCGGGGGUAGAGCACUGUUUCGGCAAGGGGGUCAUCCCGACUUACCAACCCGAUGCAAACUGCGAAUACCGGAGAAUGUUAUCACGGGAGACACACGGCGGGUGCUAACGUCCGUCGUGAAGAGGGAAACAACCCAGACCGCCAGCUAAGGUCCCAAAGUCAUGGUUAAGUGGGAAACGAUGUGGGAAGGCCCAGACAGCCAGGAUGUUGGCUUAGAAGCAGCCAUCAUUUAAAGAAAGCGUAAUAGCUCACUGGUCGAGUCGGCCUGCGCGGAAGAUGUAACGGGGCUAAACCAUGCACCGAAGCUGCGGCAGCGACACUAUGUGUUGUUGGGUAGGGGAGCGUUCUGUAAGCCUGUGAAGGUGUACUGUGAGGUAUGCUGGAGGUAUCAGAAGUGCGAAUGCUGACAUAAGUAACGAUAAAGCGGGUGAAAAGCCCGCUCGCCGGAAGACCAAGGGUUCCUGUCCAACGUUAAUCGGGGCAGGGUGAGUCGACCCCUAAGGCGAGGCCGAAAGGCGUAGUCGAUGGGAAACAGGUUAAUAUUCCUGUACUUGGUGUUACUGCGAAGGGGGGACGGAGAAGGCUAUGUUGGCCGGGCGACGGUUGUCCCGGUUUAAGCGUGUAGGCUGGUUUUCCAGGCAAAUCCGGAAAAUCAAGGCUGAGGCGUGAUGACGAGGCACUACGGUGCUGAAGCAACAAAUGCCCUGCUUCCAGGAAAAGCCUCUAAGCAUCAGGUAACAUCAAAUCGUACCCCAAACCGACACAGGUGGUCAGGUAGAGAAUACCAAGGCGCUUGAGAGAACUCGGGUGAAGGAACUAGGCAAAAUGGUGCCGUAACUUCGGGAGAAGGCACGCUGAUAUGUAGGUGAAGUCCCUCGCGGAUGGAGCUGAAAUCAGUCGAAGAUACCAGCUGGCUGCAACUGUUUAUUAAAAACACAGCACUGUGCAAACACGAAAGUGGACGUAUACGGUGUGACGCCUGCCCGGUGCCGGAAGGUUAAUUGAUGGGGUCAGCGCAAGCGAAGCUCUUGAUCGAAGCCCCGGUAAACGGCGGCCGUAACUAUAACGGUCCUAAGGUAGCGAAAUUCCUUGUCGGGUAAGUUCCGACCUGCACGAAUGGCGUAAUGAUGGCCAGGCUGUCUCCACCCGAGACUCAGUGAAAUUGAACUCGCUGUGAAGAUGCAGUGUACCCGCGGCAAGACGGAAAGACCCCGUGAACCUUUACUAUAGCUUGACACUGAACAUUGAGCCUUGAUGUGUAGGAUAGGUGGGAGGCUUAGAAGUGUGGACGCCAGUCUGCAUGGAGCCGACCUUGAAAUACCACCCUUUAAUGUUUGAUGUUCUAACGUUGACCCGUAAUCCGGGUUGCGGACAGUGUCUGGUGGGUAGUUUGACUGGGGCGGUCUCCUCCUAAAGAGUAACGGAGGAGCACGAAGGUUGGCUAAUCCUGGUCGGACAUCAGGAGGUUAGUGCAAUGGCAUAAGCCAGCUUGACUGCGAGCGUGACGGCGCGAGCAGGUGCGAAAGCAGGUCAUAGUGAUCCGGUGGUUCUGAAUGGAAGGGCCAUCGCUCAACGGAUAAAAGGUACUCCGGGGAUAACAGGCUGAUACCGCCCAAGAGUUCAUAUCGACGGCGGUGUUUGGCACCUCGAUGUCGGCUCAUCACAUCCUGGGGCUGAAGUAGGUCCCAAGGGUAUGGCUGUUCGCCAUUUAAAGUGGUACGCGAGCUGGGUUUAGAACGUCGUGAGACAGUUCGGUCCCUAUCUGCCGUGGGCGCUGGAGAACUGAGGGGGGCUGCUCCUAGUACGAGAGGACCGGAGUGGACGCAUCACUGGUGUUCGGGUUGUCAUGCCAAUGGCACUGCCCGGUAGCUAAAUGCGGAAGAGAUAAGUGCUGAAAGCAUCUAAGCACGAAACUUGCCCCGAGAUGAGUUCUCCCUGACCCUUUAAGGGUCCUGAAGGAACGUUGAAGACGACGACGUUGAUAGGCCGGGUGUGUAAGCGCAGCGAUGCGUUGAGCUAACCGGUACUAAUGAACCGUGAGGCUUAACCUUACAACGCCGAAGCUGUU
rnacentral:rRNA from 1 species